UUGAUAGUACCUACUACUGGAUACCGUGGUAAUCUAGAGCUAAUACAUGCUAAAAACCCCGACUUCGGGAGGGGUGUAUUUAUUAGAUAAAAACCCAAUGCCCUUCGGGGCUCCUUUGGUGAUUCAUGAUAACUUCUCAGAUCGCAUGGCUUUACGCCGGCGACGGUUCAUUCAAAUUUCUGCCCUAUCAACUUUCGAUGGUAAGGUAGUGGCUUACCAUGGUUUCAACGGGUAACGGGGAAUUAGGGUUCGAUUCCGGAGAGGGAGCCUGAGAAACGGCUACCACAUCCAAGGAAGGCAGCAGGCGCGCAAAUUACCCAAUUCCGAUACGGAGAGGUAGUGACAAUAAAUACUGAUACAGGGCUCUUUAGGGUCUUGUAAUUGGAAUGAGUACAAUUUAAACCUCUUAACGAGGAACAAUUGGAGGGCAAGUCUGGUGCCAGCAGCCGCGGUAAUUCCAGCUCCAAUAGCGUAUAUUAAAGUUGUUGCAGUUAAAAAGCUCGUAGUUGAACCUUUGGCCUGGCUGGCAGGUCCGCCUCACCGCGUGCACUUGUCCGGCCGGGCCUUUUCUUCUGGAGAACCGCAUGCCCUUCACUGGGUGUGUUGGGGACCAGGACUUUUACUUUGAAAAAAUUAGAGUGUUCAAAGCAGGCCUUUGCUCGAAUACGUUAGCAUGGAAUAAUAGAAUAGGACGUGCGGUCCUAUUUUGUUGGUUUCUAGGACCGCCGUAAUGAUUAAUAGGGACAGUCGGGGGCAUCAGUAUUCAAUUGUCAGAGGUGAAAUUCUUGGAUUUAUUGAAGACUAACUACUGCGAAAGCAUUUGCCAAGGAUGUUUUCAUUAAUCAGUGAACGAAAGUUAGGGGAUCGAAGACGAUCAGAUACCGUCGUAGUCUUAACCAUAAACUAUGCCGACUAGGGAUCGG
rnacentral:rRNA from 1 species